rnacentral:lncRNA from 1 species
GAAAUGGCACAAGAACUAUGACUUCUCGAAUAAACAUUUUCCCCUAUUUGCUACUUGAUAAAUCCUUUCUGAUGACAAGAACUACUUGUGGGAGAAUAGAAAUCUAAGGAUUAAAGGAACAUGAGGUUCCUCCACCUCGAGACUGCUCUGCUGACCUUAGCAUCCCAUCAAGCCCCCACUGAAGGUGAGUCCCGUCCCAGCCCUCACCAUUGGAAGCUCAGUUUAAAUAAAGCAGAAUUAACUUUCAUGGUUUAUGAAUAUCAGACAAUGAUAUUUGUAAUUUAAUUAAUGAUUUUUCAAUGAAAUUACACAUGGGCAGGGCAAGCUCUUUUAAAAAAUCACAUCUAAAUCUCUUUUCCUCGUUUUUAUCUUAUUUUAGUUCAAACUAAACCAGUGAAUUUUACAAGCAGGAGCCUCAUACAGUACAAACAGAAGGAAACGCAGAGCUCUGGCCACUCUUUCAAGAAGUUUGUUUCACGGCUGCAGGCCUGCAAUCUAUGCCUGCCUACACCAGGAGGACUUGAAAUGAGGGCGAGAACUGCCAGUUCUCAUCCCACGAUGCUACUCGGGCAGUGAGCAGGAAAUCAAGACUGGACCAGUCAUAACCCACUUUGUUGAAAAACUUCACACAACUCCUUGGGGAACAGAAAUUUCAGAUAGUAUUAAGGGAACAGAACAGGGUGUCAGAGGUACGAAGACAGAGAAAAGAUAAGUGGUCACUGGGUGAUCAUCUCCUCUCUGUCCAGACGGAAUGAUUAUCGGACACAUACAAGUCCAGCACGGGGAACCCAUGGCUCCGUUCUGUCUGAGAACAUGUGUGAUGUAAGUGUAGGAAGGAGCCAGUUCUGCAUCCACCCUCAGAGCCCUCUAGAGGGAGAGACUGAGGUUAAGGGAGCACUCCCUGAGUGUCACCUUUCUCUGCACUGUUACAGAUCGUGGGGGACACUUCUAAAUAGAUAUUGUAUAAUGUAUAUUUUGCCUGCCCAUUCUAAAUUCCUCAAGGUUCCUGACAAACCACAGAUAUUUUAUGAGACCCAAAUGACAGGACUGACCUAGAAGUCACAGAAGGGAAGAAGAGAGAUGGCCCCAAGUACGAUAAAGGUACAGCUGCACCCACAGACACCCAGAAGGGAGUUGUCCCUGCUUGAUACCCUCUUUGUCACCCAGAUUA